UAGCUAUUUAGGUUAGAGUUUGAUCAUGGCUCAGGACGAACGCUGGCGGCGCGCUUAACACAUGCAAGUCGAGCGAGAACCUGGCCUUCGGGCCUGGGGAAAGCGGCGAACGGGUGAGUAACACGUGGGUAACCCACCCUUGGUACUGGGAUAGCCCGGGGAAACCCGGAUUAAUACCGGAUGGCCCAACAGCUCUUCGGGGCGGUUGGAAAAGGUAGCUUCGGCCUCCGACCAAGGACGGGCCCGCGGCGGAUUAGCUUGUUGGUGGGGUAACGGCCUACCAAGGCGACGAUCCGUAGCUGGUCUGAGAGGACGAUCAGCCACACUGGGACUGAGACACGGCCCAGACUCCUACGGGAGGCAGCAGUGGGGAAUAUUGGACAAUGGGCGCAAGCCUGAUCCAGCCAUGCCGCGUGAGUGAUGAAGGCCCUAGGGUUGUAAAGCUCUUUUGUGCGGGAAGAUAAUGACGGUACCGCAAGAAUAAGCCCCGGCUAACUACGUGCCAGCAGCCGCGGUAAU
rnacentral:rRNA from 1 species